rnacentral:rRNA from 1 species
GACGAACGCUGGCGGCGUGCUUAACACAUGCAAGUCGAACGGAAAGGCCCUGCAUUUUUGAUGUGCUCGGGUUGCGAACGGGUGAGUAACACGUUAGUAACCUGCCCUUGACUUUGGGAUAACUUCACGAAACUGGGGCUAAUACCGGAUAGGAUCUCCUGCUGCAUGGUGGGAGUUGGAAAGUUUCGGCCGUUGGGGAUGUACUCGCGGCGUAUCAACUUCUUGGUGUGGUAGUGGCUUACCAUGGCUUUGACGGGUAGCCGGCCUGGGAUGUGGACCGGCUACAUUGGGACUGAGCUACGGCACAGACUCCAACGGGAGGCAGGAGAGGGGAAUGGUGCACAAUGGGAGGAGGGCUGAUGCAGUAAAGCCGCGUGGGGGAUGACGGCAUUCGGGUUGUAAAGCGCUUUGGCCUGUGACGAAGCGUGAGUGACGGUAAUGGGUGAAGAAGCACCGGCUAACUACGUG